AUUGAACGCUGGCGGCAGGCCUAACACAUGCAAGUCGAGCGGAGAGGCGGACGGGUGAGUAAUGCCUAGGAAUCUGACUGGUAGAGGGGGAUAACGUCAGGAAACGGGAGCUAAUACCGCAUAAUAUAAGAUGAGCCUCGGUCGGAUUGUCUAGUUGGUGGGGUAAAGGCCUACCAAGGCGGGGAUCCGUAACUGGGCUGAGAGGAUGAUCAGUCACACUGGAACUGAGACACGGUCCAGACUCCGACGGUAGGCAGCAGUGGGGACUAUUGGACAAUGGGGGCAACCCUGAUCCAGCCAUGCCGCGUGUAUGAAGAAGGCCUUCGGGUUGUAAAGUACUUUUGUUAGGGAAGCGGUACCUAAAGAAUAAGCACCGGCUAACUACGUGCCAGCAGCCGCGGUAAUAC
rnacentral:rRNA from 1 species